CGGGUCCUCAAAAGUUCCAUGCAUCAGAUGGACACCUACGCCGUCGCCAUCUCCUCCCUCUUUUGGUGGAGCGUGUUCGCCUCCAUCUUGCAGCACUUGCAUGGCGGGCUCACUAUCGGCACCACACCGCGCGCAUGCGCGUGUCCAUCCUGAAGCCCCUUCACGUGGGCGUUGAUCUUGCGCGCGACGAUGACGGAGUUAAUGACUUCGUCGUCCGGGUGGUACACGGCAAGCACGUCGAAGCCGCUGCGACGGAUGUCCUCGGGAUCGACGAUCGGGUACAGGAACCCUCGAGCCUCGUGGGCGCUCCGCACGAUGAGAGCCGCUCCAUCCGCCAUGUGUCUGCCAAGGUGCGUAGCCACCUUGGCCUUGUCCUCGGCCGCCAUGCCGACGAGCGCGGCCAGGAAGACCACGUCGUACUUGCGGAGCUCGUCCGUGAGGUUGGCGACGUCGGCGGUGUGGAAGAACAUUCGCUUGCGCAGACCCUCGUCCGCGCGGACCAGCUUCCGUGCACGGUCGUUGGCGGCGGCGCACCGGUCGUAGUUGUCGAACAUCACGUUCGGCAGGUGGCGGGAGGCGAGCACGAGCGAGCUGAACGGCAGGGGUCCGGACCCGACGAAGGCGAUUCUGGAAGGUGCGAUGCCCGGGACAUAGCGAACCAGGAGGUCGUACUCCAACUUGCUCAGGUUGACGUAGUUGUUGAAGUAAGGGAAGCGGCCGAGAUGGUCGAGCGGGUUGUCGAAGGCGGCGAGCAUGUCGGCAUAGUGCGCCUCGAGGUGGCCCUCGGCGUCGGAGCAGAGGCGGAUGAGCUCCUCCCGCAUCCUCUGCGCGUCCGUGCCGAGCUUGGUCACGUCGACGGGGCUCGGUGGGACGCAGGCCAUGACGAGCUCGGUGAACAGCGCGUCGACGUCGGGGGAUGGGCUCAGCGAUGGCAGCUUGUUGAUGGCGGCGUGGAGGCCGGUUAUCUUCUGCACCAGGGCAGAAACCUCCGUGUUUGCAUGGGCGUCGAUCUUGCGCGCGAUGAUGACAGAGUUGAUCACCUCAUCGUCCGGGUGGUACACCGUCAGAACGUCAAACCCGCCACGACGGAUGUCCUCGGGAUCCACGAUCGGGUAUAGGAACCCGCGAGCCCCGUGCGCGCUCCGCACGACGAGAGCCGCUCCGUCCGCCAUGUGCCUGCCAAGGUGCACGACCACCUUGGCCUUGUCCUCGGCCGCCAUGCCGACGAGCGCGGCAAGGAAGACGACGUCGUACUUGCCGAGGUCAUCCGUCAGGUUGGCUACGUCCACCGUGUGGAAGGACAUGCGCGCGUUCAGGUCCUUGUCCGCGCGGACCAGCUUCCGCGCACGGUCGUUGGCGGCAGCGCACCGGUCAUAGUUGUCGAAUGUCGUGUUGGGCAGGUGGCGGGCGGCGAGCACGAGCGAGCUGAACGGCAAGGGGCCUGACCCGACGAAGGCGACGCGGGAAGGCGCGAGACCCGGGAUGUAGCGGACCAGGAGGUCGUACUCCAGCUUGCUCAGGUUGAUGUAGUUGCUAAAGUAUGGGAAGCGGCCGAGAUGGUCGAGCGGGUUGUCGAAGGCGGCCAGCAUGUCGGCGUAGUGCGCCUCGAGGUGGCCCUCGGCGUCGGAGCAGAGGCGAAUGAGCUCCUCCCGCAUCCUCUGGGAGUCCGGGCUGAGCUUGGUCACGUCGACAGUGCUCGGCGGGACGCAGGCCAUGACGAGGCUGGUGAAUAGCGCGUUGACGUCGGGGGACGGGCUCAGCGACGGCAGCUUGGUGAUGUCGGCGUGGAGGUCCGCGAUCUUCUUCACCAGGGCAGCAACCUCCACGUUCUGGGCCUCCAUAUGGCAGUUGGUAGUUUCGCUGGUACAGUUGCGCGCGGUUGGGAAGCUGUUGCUGUGC
rnacentral:misc_RNA from 1 species